ACGAACGCUGGCGGCGUGCUUAACACAUGCAAGUCGGACGCUGAAGCUCAGCUUUUGUUGGGUGGAUGAGUGGCGAACGGGUGAGUAACACGUGAGUAACCUGCCCCCUUCUUUGGGAUAACGCCCGGAAACGGGUGCUAAUACUGGAUAUUCACUGGUCUUCGCAUGGGGGUUGGUGGAAAGGGUUUUUCUGGUGGGGGAUGGGCUCGCGGCCUAUCAGCUUGUUGGUGGGGUGAUGGCCUACCAAGGCUUUGACGGGGAGCCGGCCUGAGAGGGUGACCGGUCACAUUGGGACGGAGAUACGGCCCAGACUCCUACGGGAGGCAGCAGUGGGGAAUAUUGCACAAUGGGCGCAAGCCUGAUGCAGCGACGCCGCGUGAGGGAUGGAGGCCUUCGGGUUGUGAACCUCUUUCGCUCAUGGUCAAGCCGCAACAAUGGUUGUGGUGAGGGUAGUGGGUAAAGAAGCGCCGGCUAACUACGUG
rnacentral:rRNA from 1 species